rnacentral:lncRNA from 1 species
CCACCCGGAUUAGAAAAUUUAUUCCUUUUGAAGUAUUUGCAAUUGAAUAUCCCUUCGCUCAAAUGCCUUCCUUCGCUGCUAUGCACCCUUUUAAACCUUCAAACACUAGAAAUGCCAUCUAGCUACAUAGAUCAUUCACCAGAGGGUAUUUGGAUGAUGCAAAAACUCAUGCAUCUGAACUUCUGUUGCAUCACUCUGCCUGCACCUCCCAAAAAUUAUUCCAGUUCUCUGAAAAAUCUCAUUUUCAUAUCAGCCUUACACCCUAGUAGUUGUACUCCAGAUAUAUUGGGCAGACUACCUAAUGUGCAAAGUCUUAGAAUAUCUGGGGAUUUGAGUCACUAUCAUUCCGGGGUUUCCAAAAGCCUGUGCGAACUACACAAACUUGAAUGCCUGAAAUUGGUGAAUGAAAGCAAGCUCUCACGGAUGGUCCUGUCUGAAUACCAAUUUCCUCCAAGUCUGGUCCAACUGAGCUUAUCAAAUACUGAGCUAAUGGAGGAUCCCAUGCCAAUACUGGAGAGGCUUCCGCGUCUUCAAGUGCUGAAACUGAAGCGAAACUCGUAUUUAGGAAGAAAGUUGGCCUGCGUUGGCUCUGGUGGCUUUCCAGAACUUAAGGUUUUGCACCUGAAAUCAAUGUAUUGGCUAGAUGAGUGGACGAUGGCGGCAGGAGCAAUGCCAAAACUUGAAAGCUUAAUUAUGAACCCUUGUGCAUACUUGAGAAAGCUUCCUGAGGAGCUACGGUGCAGAAAGAGCUUACGUAAAUUGGAGUUACAUUGGCCUCAGCCUGAGUUGAGGCAAAGGCUACGAGCUUUUGAGAAUAUGGAGUGGCGGUAUGACAUCCAGUUUUAUCCUUCUGGAAUCUAACGGAUUGAAAGAGGUGAGUUUUACUCAGUAGAUUUAUAAAUGUAUAAUUUAUCGUAAAACCUUCAAAGGUUCAAAUUUUAAUUUUUUAUCGUAAUUUCCUGACUUUUGUAGGAAAAAUCCAAGUGGAAAGCAUCAUAUAUAAUUGCCGUCUGGCUUUCAAUUUCAACUGCAAUUCAGCAUUGAUCCGUUUAAUUAUCUUCAUUUCAGCUGCCUUUUGGGGGCACUAUUUUGAAGCAGAUUUACCGCUAGUAAUUCCAUGGUUAGUCUAUUGUCUAUAAACUUGAAUAAGGUAUGUUUUUGCUUUUGUUGAUGUGGAUUUUGUGUUUUAGGAACUGUUGUGCGAUUAGGACUCCAGUUAAGUGUUGUUCAUGAAUAAAGGGUUUGGCUGUCCUUGGACUGUAUGGAAAAAGACAUCUAGUCAAAUUUUCAUCAAGUCACUGAGGGAAUUGCACCAAUGUAAAUAAUCCUCAGUGCCGUCAUGCUUUAUUUGAAUUUGAAUUUGUAUGACAAAAGGAUAUGUAUGAACUGUAAUUUGCAAAUUUGCCGUCUUACUUCUAAUCCCUCCCCAGAAGACUACAAAUUAUAAGGUAAAGUCUGGACCGGCAUUCGUGGGCUAAAUUGCAGACCAGCAGAUGCUUGAUCUUGAAGGUACUAAAACAUAUUUAUCUAAAUUUAAAUUAAUUUCCACUGCCAAUUUGUACUUUCAAUCCCCAAAAACGGUCCAAAAAUGCUAGAUAUGGCCUAAAUACUAAGGAUAUGGAGUCGCGGUUUGACAUCCACAUAUUGCCUUAUGGAACCCAAUUGAUUAAUUGGGGAGAGUUAUACUAUCUUAUCUGAUAACUCAACCUUUAGUUACGUGCCUGAUUUGGUAUGCCUUUUUCCGUUUCCUGAUUGUCUAACUGUCGUAUGAUUCGUUCCAAUUAAGUUUUCUUCAUUCGGGUGUGGUUUGCUCUGCUGUCUCAAAUUCAUCAAUGUGAAUAUGACACUCUUCAUUAAUAUUCCAAUUAAGCACUUCAGCUCGGAUGUGUAUUAUCUUUACUUAUUUUUCAGCUUUAUGCCUUUAGCUAUGGGAUAACUUUAGCCAUAUGCCAGUUACAAUCUCAAGAUUUGUGCAGAAGACUGCUUUUAUAAUUGUAAAUUUGUAAUGUUACUUGUAGUCCCUCAACGGCAAGACUCUAAAUAAGUAAGGUAAAGUUCAUUGAACAUGCAGCUUUUCUGCAAAUCAGGUCUUUGCACAAAUUAAAAUCCAGUUGUGGUCAAUGGAAAAUUGAUUGUUGACUUCCAUUUUUCCAAACAAGCCAACAGUACCCUAACACAAUCAACCCAAGCUUUUAAAGAGGAUACAAAUUUGCAGAAGCCACCAGAGUUGCAUCAACUAUUGGAGUUAGUGCAGAUAAGACUACUGAUGCACAAAAAUGGAAAUUAACAAUCAACUUGAGCAAAACCAUAAAAAUGCCGGGGUAGUUAAGGUUGCUUCCAACGCAAGCCUCAACUCGAGUAGCGAAACAGAGGGGGUAAGCCACACAAUGUAGCAGAGAAACAAAGAAAUAUCAUUCUGUAUUCUAUCUAAUAACUAUUUUACAUUCAUAACCGCAGCCAGGCUUCCCAAGUCAACUGUAAUUCAGCAUCGAUCCUUUACAUACAUUUCAUUUCAGCCGUCAUUUCGGGAAGUUGUUUUGAAUUGGAUUUGCGAGUUUGAUGAAGUGAGACUGCGAGUAUUGUUGCAGAUUUCAAUGUAUUUCAAUGUGAUGCGCACGUGACUCACUCAUUCUCAUUUGACCACAUCAAACUUCAGUCAAAGUUGUUACUAAUCGCGGCAAAGUUUGUUUAUGCAGUUUCUGUUUUGUACUUUAAAAACAUAGAUGUAAUCAUCACUACAUUAACAAAUAAUCAUAAUUAAAGCAAUCACCUUCCAAUUUUUGGAAAUGUCGACAGAAAUCUUUGUACAGGAGUGCGGUAAUGACAUACAAUUAUUAUAAUGGAACUUUACCUUUAGGAAACUUAAGAUGUCCUAUUUUCAAAAGGCAUCAAGGACUAACUUUUUUUCAUUCCCAUACUUUAUCUCAGUUAAUUUAUUUAAGAAUCUUCGCAUUACAAUCUGGUCACCAUGAUUUAUUUUCAUUUUAUUUUGAGACAAAAGAAUUGUUUUUAAAUUCUCAUCAGCAAAUGUACAUUGCUUUCGUUUUUGGAUUGGCAAAAACAGGGUAAAAUAAUAAUUAAACAAGAUUUCAGGACAUCAGCAUCUUAUUCUUUUCUUGAACCAAGUCUUUGUUUUGUUUAGCUUUUGUUAAGAUGCUUUAUUAACCUUCCUCCUUUUUCCUAUUGCUAGUAUGGUAUCAUUGUUCAUUUCUUGAACCGAGAUAUUUGCCUUUCCUUGGAAGUAAAGCUUAAAUGCUCUUUCGCCUUUCCUCCCUUUUUCUCUUAACUUGUGUUUUCUUAUGCGAUCGUUUUCAAUUGUACCAAACACCACUCAUUUAUCAAUAUCCAGUUUGAAUAAAAUUCUACAUUUUGAUUUUUCUGCUUCUUCCACAUAAUUGUUUGAUUGUGGUGCUUUCAGUCAGAGUUAGAUAUCAUCAGGACAUUAAAUCUUUGAUUACUCGAUCAAUUAAUAACAGGUAUUUUAUUAUCUGAAUUAUUCAUAAACUAACUUCAUUUUAUUUAUUUUUAUCUCAUGAAUGUUAGAUCCACUUUAGGUUUGUGAUUAAUUAUUUUUCGCAAGUUAUAUUUUUUUAUUUUCAUUUUCAUAAGUAUCAAAAUCAUCACUAUCAUGAUUCAUGCACACGUUGCUUGCAAUUUUAUUGUGUAAAAAUCAUCACCCACAAAUAAUAUUAAAUGAAAUUCACUCGCACAUUAAAAAAUAUGUGCAUAUAAUUUUUUUUAAAACCAUUAUUCUCCCUUGGAGCUUACUAUUAUUUAGUACACGAAAUAAAUAAAUAAAUAGAUAAAUAACUUGAUGGAGUUGUUUGCGAAUAGGAAUUAGUAUUUAUUUAGUUUCGUGUUUCUGCAUUACUAUUAUCUUCUUUGUUAUAUUUGCUUUUAUCCUCAAAUGUUGUUUUUGUAUUUGUUUUAUAAUAAAGAUACGAUUAGUUUCUAGAUAAUAUUAAAGCACGUUGGUAGCCUUUGUUAAAAUAGCAUUUGAAAAUGAAAUUUGUAAAAAUGUGUUUGGCAAUUCUUUUGGAAAAAUUAUAAAAUAAAUUAUUGUGGGACUCAUCUUAUUUCCAUUCAUUCCUUGCACAACGCAUUAUCCUGAUUGAUUAAAGUGUUAUUUCAAUGUUAUUUUCACCAAAUCCAAGAACAUGUCAGAAAAGCACUUUGUGAAAUAUGUUCUUCAUUCUAAUAUUUUCGCCAAAUAGAAAAAUACCAAACAGCUCCUUAGUUAGAGAUAGUUAUUUGACAACACAAGUACUCUGUUUUGCAUAUAUUUAUAUAUUUCUAAUAGCUUUGCUUUGCAAAUUCCUACUAAACAGUAUAAGUGAGAGAAGGAGACAUGCUGGACGUCCAUCUCCGACUAUUUUGUGAGAGGUUGAAAAGGGUGUUAGCAGGUGAAGAGGGCGCGUUGCCGUUGGUUGAUUCAACAAAUUUAACUCCACUUUUUCAAAACCUUCUUACGGAGUCCGAAAUUAUUGCUACUACUCUGCUCGGGAACUAUGAAGGCGACAUGGCUCGUCAUUUGAUUCAACCCAUUGCAGACGAAUUCGAUGAAUCCAAAAUAUCUUUGCCUUUUUUGCAACUGUUGGACAUAGAAGAAAGCGAUGAAGACGUUGAAAGACCAGACAUUUUGGAAAUUCUGGAGGACAUCAAUGACUUUGUCCAUGAAUCUGAGGAAGCCAUUGACACAUUCAUCAUCAACAUCAUGCAGCAGCAAAACAGUGAAAUCGAAAGUGAGAGCAGUACUAAUAUGGCUCUUCUUAUUGGACUCCACAGUAAAAUCAUUGAUAUUAGAAAUCGGAUGCAACAACUUCCACCCAGCGACAAUGGUUUUGAUAUCAGUGAACAAAGUAACAUAAUCAUUCGCCAAUUGAGUGAGGGACAGCCUCAGCUUGAUGUCAGUGAAUUUGAAAGGGGCAGAGAGAAGUUGUUUGAUCUAUUGAUUGAGGGACCAUCUGGGCUUUCGGUGGUUGCAAUUCUCGACAGCAAUGGCUUCGAUAAGACUGCUUUUGCUGCUGAUACUUACAAUAAUAAUCAUGUCAAGUUCUAUUUUGACUGUCUUGCUUGGGUCAGGGUUUCUCUACUCUACGAUUUUCUCAAGAUAUUGGAUGACAUAAUCAAGUCUGUGAUGCCUCCAUCUCGGGUUAGUGUAAUUAUCGGUGAAGAUUAUCAAUUGAAGAAAUCUAUUCUUCGAGAUUACCUAACAAACAAGAAGUACUUUAUUGUGCUUGAUGACGUCUUCGAUUACAGCGAGAUAUGGAGUGAUCUUGUAGAACUUCUUCCCGAUUAUCAGAAUGGAAGCAGAGUAUUGAUAUUGGUCAAUGAUGCAUCCCUCCUUACCUCGUUCGAAUUGGAGCAUGGAGAGAAGAUUCGGCUUAAUUCAGCGCUCGUUGGAGGACCACUGAUUAGAAUAAAGUAUGAAGGCUGGCAAUUUUUCAUCCUACACUAUGGAAGCGCGCCAUUAGAAAAUUAUAUUCGAGGCGAAGCGAUGACAAUUUGGAGACAAAUUUGUUCUGUGAUGGAGUUACCUUUUCACUUGAAAGUCUGCUGCAUCUAUUUGUGUGUCUUCCCUCCAAGUAUUAAGAUAUCUACGAGGCAAUUAUAUCAGUUGUGGAUAGCUGAAUGUUUCAUCCCAUACAACAGUGAAGAAACUGCCAAACAUUACUUGAAAGAACUAAUCCAACGCGGCUUCAUUCAAGUGAGUAAGAGAAGAGCCGGCGGCACAAUUAAAGCGUGUUAUGUUCCAAGUCUUGCAUUUACUUCAUUGGCUUUGAUGGCAGAAAAGACGAUAUUUGUCUGGAAUCCUGGCAUGGAAGAGGAAUCACUGUCAAAUGUUAAACGGUGCUUCAUUUGGGAAAGUCUGAUUGACUUCUUUUCUUUGAAACAUUCUGACAUGUACCUCCAAUCUUUUCUGAAUCACAGUUCAGAAAGCGAUCAUCUUGCUCUGAUAGAUUGUGAGAAUUUUUGUAAAAAGUUCAAACACCUUCGGGUACUGGACUUGGGUUCUGCAGUUCUCGACCAAUAUCCACCCGGAUUAGAAAAUUUAUUCUAUUUGAAGUAUUUGAAAUUGAAUAUUCCAUCGCUCAAAUGUCUUCCUUCACUGCUAUGCACCCUUUUAAACCUUCAAACACUAGAAAUGCCAUCAAGCUACAUAGAUCAUUCAUCAGAGGAUAUUUGGAUGAUGCAAAAACUCAUGCAUCUGAACUUUGGAUCCAUCACUCUGCCUGCACCUCCAAAAAAUUAUUCCAGCUCUCUGAAAAAUCUCAUUUUCAUAUCAGCCUUACACCCUAGUAGUUGUACUCCAGAUAUAUUAAGCAGACUCCCUACUGUUCAAACACUUAGAAUAUCUGGAGAUUUGAGUCACUAUCAUUCUGGGGUUUCCAAAAGCCUAUGCGAACUGCACAAACUUGAAUGCUUGAAGCUGGCGAAUCAAGGCAAGAUGUGGCAGAUCACACGGAUGAUCCUGUCUGAAUACAAAUUUCCUCCAAGUCUGACCCAACUGAGCCUAUCAAAUACUGAGCUAAUUGAGGAUCCGAUGCCGACACUAGAAAAGCUUCCACACCUUGAGGUGCUGAAACUGAAGCAGAACUCGUACUUCGAAAGAAAGCUGGCUUGUGUUGGCUGUAGCAGUUUUCCUCAGCUCAAGAUUUUGCACCUAAAAUCAAUGCUAUGGCUGGAGGAGUGGACGAUGGGGGCAGGAGCAAUGCCAAAACUUGAAAGCUUAAUUUUGAACCCUUGUGCAUACUUGAGAAAGCUUCCUGAGGAGCUAUGGCGCAUAAAGAGCUUAUGCAAAUUGGAGUUACAUUGGCCUCAGCCAGAGUUGAGACAACGGCUACGAGCUUUUGAGGAUAUGGAGUGGCGGUAUGACAUCCAGUUAUAUCCUUCUGGAAUAUAACGGAUUGAAAGGGGUGAGAGUUUUACUUGAAAAUUAGUGAUAUGGUAUGACAUUGUUUCACCUACUCAAUAGAUUUAUAAAUGUGCUAUCUGUAGUAAAACCUUCAAGGGUUUAAAUUUUAAUUUAUGAUUCUAUGUCCUUUGACUUGUGUAGGAAAAGUAAAAGGGGGAAGCAUCAUAUAUAGCUGGAAUCUGGCUUUCAAUUUCAACUGUACUUUCAACAUUGAUCCGUUCAAUUCUCUUCAUUUCAGCUGCCUUGUUGGGACAUUAUUUUGAAGCGGAUUUUCCAUCAGUGAUGCCAUGGUUAUUCUAUUGUCCAUAAACUUGAAUAAGGUACGCUUUUGCUAAGAACUCUAAGAAAAAGACAUCUGGUCGCAGUUUCAUCAAUUGGCUGAGGGAAUUGCAACAAUGUAACUAAUGCCUCAGUGAACUCAUACCUUAUUUGAAUUUUAAUUGUAUGGCAAAAGGAUAUGUAUGAAUUAAAAUUUGCAAAUUAGUAGAGUUGUUUGUAAUCCCUCACCAGCAAGACUAUAACUUGUAAGGUAAAGCUCGGAUCAGCAUUCAUUGGCUAAACCGUAGACCAGAAAGGCUUGAUCUUGAACCGUGUGAUCGGUCCAAGAAAAUAAAUAUCACUUAAGUUACAUCAAUAAUUGGAGUAAUGUAGAUAAGAUCAAUAUUGCUCAAAAUAUAAUGUUCAAAGGAAAAGUAGACAAUGACUAGGAAUGAACAUAACUUUCUAUUUCAGACUUGGUUAAAACUUAAAAGAAAAAUAGGGGCCUGCAGACACCAAAAGGAUUAAAGGAAUCUCUUUUGAAAAGCGUUUGAAAGGAAUAAAAUGGGGUACUGAAGAUAAAGCAAUCAAAAAUCAAAGAUAAGCUAAUUGUAAUCCAACUAGAAGGCACUAAAAAUAUAUUUGUCUAAAUUUAAAUUUAAUUUCCACUGCCAAUUUGUAGUUUCAAUCCCCAAAAUGGAUCCAAAAAACUUCUCUGUCCCAAAACCUUUUCCCAAUCAAAUUCUAGAGCAAAAAUACGCAAGCAUACCAAUUCUGCCGUCUUCUACAUAUUAACUUAGCUUUCAUUGAAAUUCAAGAAAGCAAAAUGGCUAAAAGUCUAUGAAUGUUAACAAACAAAUCCACGAACCAAAACUACUCACAAAUAGUGUCUUUGAGCUCCAAAGUAACACCCAUGCAUAGCCAGCAUUUUAAUUCAGCCCAUGUGAUACAAGCUAUAAUUCAUUUGAAUUAUUUAUUAGAAAAGAGAAAAUAAGAUAAUUUUACGGAUAUUUCAAGUUACAUGUUUCACCGGCACACUUUAUGCCAAGUCCAUAAUGGUACAAAUAAUGUGUAACCUUAUGACCCACCCAAUAAUAGAAUCAGAUGUAGUAUGCACAAAUUGCACAAUCAAAAAAGCAUCCUACUGAUCCACCGAUUUAAUCUUUUAACCUUAUGACCCAACCAAUCUUGAUCUAUAACCUUUGCUUUCUGAUGUUUAACACAUUAUCCCAUCCUGGCCAAAAAUCUGAAAUGUUUUACGAGAGAAUUAAUCCGCUAAAUGGCUUUUGGCAGUUAAAAAAUAUUGCUUGAAUUAUAAAAAAUUGAUUCGAACAAGUUGACCUAACGGUUAUAUAAAUCUUGAUUUAGAUGAUAUCAAACUACAUAUUAAGGGUAAAAUAGAAAACAUACUCUUUUGAUCUCACUAGUUUUUGAAGGCAUAUAUCAUCUAUGUGAGCUCAAGUUCAAAGCAUUCGUGGUCAAAGCUCAUUAAAGUUAAGGACAAGCAUUAGAGAUACUAUCCAACAUAGGUAAUAUUUCUUGUCGCAUUUUUUGUAAGGCAGUAUGAUUAAAUGUGUGUAUGAUUAAGCAUUUAAAAGCUCAAUUUAUUAUCAUGAUCAUGGAACUUGACUUUGUUUUAUUUUCAUAUUGAAAAGUUUCUAGUCUUGAAUAAAAAAUGAAGAUCAAGUGUUUUUUAUCAAAAUGAUUGCCUUCAAGUAUGUGGACUAAUUUUUGGAGAAUUUGAAUGAUUAAACACUCAAAAACAAAUAUUGACCGUAUCUUUAGACCCCUACAAUUAGUUUUUAUCAAAAUGUUUCGUUUUCAUUAAACACUCAAAAACAAAUAGUACCACUCUUCCUUCAAUUCAUUCAGUAUCUUUAAACCCCUACAAUUCUUUUAAGCAAACAAAUAUUGACCGUACGUUUCGUUUAUAAGAUGCGUUUGGACCAUCGCUGUAGACUAAAAAUACAAAUUGGUAGUGGAAUUAAUUUUAGAGAAUUGGACAGUAAAUUUUUUUAAUAGUUAUAUUGUUAGAACUAAUUAAUUUUAUUAGUAUAAGAGAUUAUAACUUAGUAGGAAUUAGUUUAAAAAUUAUUAUUUUAAUUUAGUUAUUCUUAGUGUAAGUAAUAUAGAAGUAAAUAUAUUAAUAAUUAAUUAAUAGAGCAUAUCAAUUCCAUGAAGGUCUAAACAUAUUUUAAAAGCUAAAAUUUUUGUUUUGCGCAAGAAAGUGUUCAUACUAACAAGUUAUUAUCUACCCAAAUUCAAAGAUGUGGUAAUAACUCGAAAAAAAUAAAUUACUCUUUCAAACAACUUUAGAAAAAUGUUUUAUUCCAUGUUAUACCUUUAAUGUCACAUAUACGUUUUUGUAAUAUACAAAAUAAUUAUUAUCAUGUGAAAAUAAGUUACCGGAUCUAAAAAAUUUAUUAUUUAUUACAAAUGUAAAAUUUAUUCUUAUUUACAAAUAUCAUAAUUUUUUAUCAUUGGAUAAAAAUUCUUUCUAUAUAAAAUAUCAUAAUAUACUCUAGUGCCUUUUACUUAUGCUGGUUUAUCAUGAUUGGGAUUACCCUUUUUUUUUUUUUUUCUCCUAUGAUGCGCUGCUGGCGGGAACUUUUGACAAACCCGUUUUAUUCAAAGUGCUUUUCUAAAGAGAUUUCCUCAAUGUUUUUUAGUGUCGGUAGCCCUCUACUAUAUAUUCUUUUAACCCCAACUAUUCUUUUAACUAUGAACGAUAUUUCAAAGGCACUCUGUGUCCGAUGGAUCUAUAUAUAUUUCUCUUUUAAACAGAAAAAGAAAUUCUAAUCAUUUUAGCAUGAAUAAAAAAAUUUCAUAUAGAAAAAAAUACACAUCUAAUAACAGUAUACUUUUCAUGGCUUCAGACAGUAGAACUCACCAUUGAAGAUUAAAGAAAGACGAUUAAAAAAAAAAAAGGGCUAAGUUGUUGAGUUAUCCAAUUUAAGUCAUCUUGAUUUUGCAGGAGCCUGGAGUUUCCCCUCUCUUCUGGUAUUGUUAGCCUUCUUACUCGUGAAUCUCAUUUCUAUUCUUUUACAGAUUUAAGGAAAUAAUCAUAAAAUCUAGCUAUUUUUUUUCUUUAAUUAAUUGUUGUCUUCUCUCGCUUCUAAAGUUAUUAAAGGUUAUUCUUAAAAUAAGGUAGGUGUCAUUAGAAAAAAUUAUGAUCAUUUUAAUAUUUUUUGGUAAAAAAAGUAAAGGGAUUUGAGAGGACUUUUGAGGGGUCCCGUAGGUCCACUCUUGGGUGGCGUACCAACUGGAAAGGAGUAAAUUGAGUCGGUCAAAAGUUUCCGUCAAAAGCAGACAUCGUGAUAAGCCGACAAAACUAAAAUUGUCGUUUUAACAGUUCCAAAAGCCUCUUCGUCUCACAAAGUUUUCCAAAUUCCAAUCAACGAAUGAAAUUCAAGGAGCAAAAACGACAAGCAUACCACCCAUCUGCGAAUAGCGAAACAGCUAGUAAAUAACAAAAUGAAUAAUUAGAUGUCGUGCACGAUUAAGAGUAUGAUAAAUUUUAUUUAUAAAAUAUUAAAAUACUCUUUUUUUUAACCGGAUUUUAGGUCCGAUUGUUAUUUACUCACAAAUACUCUUUUUUUUUUUUUAACAGUUCUGUAUUUUAACAGAUCUACCAGGUGUACUACCAUCUACCAAAAUGAUCACCUUCCAAGAAUUUGAAAAUAUUGGCAGAAAUCUUUGUGCAAUUAUAUUAUCAUGAAACUUUAACUUUAAUUUAUUUAUUCUUUGCUAAGGAACCCUUUGCUUUAAUUACUUCCUUUUUCUGCUUCUUCCACAUAAUUGUUUGAUUGUGGUGCUUUCAGUCAGAAUUAGAUAUCAUCGGGACAUUAAAUCUUUGAUAUACUCAAACAAUCAAUACCAGGUAUUUUAUUAUCUGAAUUAUUCAUAUAAUAACUUCAUUUUAUUUAUUUUUAUCUCAUGAAUGUUAGAGGCACUUUAGGUCCGUGAUUAAUUAUUUUUCACAAAUUAUGUUUUUGGUAUCUUCUUUGUUAUAUUUGCUUUUAUCCGCAAAAGUUGUUUUUGUAUUUGUUUUAUAAUAAAGAUACCAUUAGUUUCUAGAUAAUAUUAAAGCCGUUGGUAUCAUGUGUUAAAAUAGCAUUUGAAAAUCAAAUUUGUAAAAAUGUGUUUGGCAAUUCUUUUGGAAAAAUUAAAAAAAUAAAUUAUAUGUGGGACCCAUCUUAUUUCCAUUCAUUCUUUGCACAAUGCAUUAUGGUGAUUGAUUAAAGUAUACAAGCGGCAAGGAAUUAAUGGAAAUAUGUUCUUCAAUGUUAUUUUAACCAAAGAUUUUUUCAAUGUUAUUUUAACCAAAUCCAACAACAUGUCAGAAAAGAACUUUGUGAAAUAUGUUCUUGAUUCUAGUAGUUUCGCCAAAUAGAAAAUAACUUGCCAAAACAAUGCCAAACAGCUCCUUAGUUACAGAUAGUUAUUUGACAACACAAGUACUCUGUCUUGCAUAUAUUUAUAUAUUUUUAAUAGCUCUGUUUUGCAAAUUCCUGCUAAACAGUAUAAAGGCCCGUUUGGGAGUGAGGUGCUAUAGAUUUUAAGCUGCAGUUGCUGUGGAGUAAAAGCUAUAGAUGUGGAGUGGAAGUUGGUGGUGUUUGGUAAAAGUGUUGUAGCUUUUAAGCUGCAGCUACUGAUGGUGUUUGGUAAAUUUUAAUAGUUGUAGAGUGGAUGAAUAUUUGUAAUAAUUAAUUUUAAAUAACAUUAUUUUUAAUUGUUAACAAAUCAAUUAUUUUUCAUUCUUCAAAUUAUUAUAUUGACAUACAAUUACGAUUUAUUACUUACAAUGCCAUCUUUCAAGAUUAUUACAUCUUGAGUUGUGCUAUCAAUCGUUUCAUAACUUUCUUCAUGAGAUGCAAUAUGUUCGCUAAUACUAUGACUUGGUUCAUCCGUCAUUUCAUCAAAAUGAUCAUUAUUUUGUGAAUAUCUUCUGAUAUAAUUAUGCAAGGCCAUGGUAGCAAUAACUAUUUUCACCUGCUUCUUGAAUGGAUAGCUUGGCAUACUUCGUAAAAUCUUCCAUGUAUUCUUCCAAAAUAACUUUCUUCAUGAGAUUCAAUAUUGCUUAUAUGUUUGUUAUUUCAUCAAAAUGAUCAUAAUUUUGUGAAUAUCUUCUGAUAUAAUUAUGUAAGGUCAUGGUAGUAAUAACUAUUUUCACCUGCUUCUUGAGUGGAUAGCUUGGCAUAUUUCGUAAAAUCUUUCAUGUAUUCUUCCAAACCCUAAAAGUACGCUCAAUAACACUUCUCAAGGAAGAGUGCUUGCAGUUGAACAAUUCUUUAUAACCUAUUUGUUGGCUACCUCUACGAAAUCCAGGAAUAACCCUUAUAAGGUCCUAAGUACCCACAUAACUUCGGAUAUCUUGCAUCUACUAAAUAGUAUUUUCCUAAAAAUAAAAAGAAAAAUACAAAAAAAAUAACACAAUCUAAUCAAUUGAAUAAGUAUUUAAAAAAAAUUAGAAAUACAAACUUGGAGGAGGAUUUGGAUAAUUGAAUGCAGGAUUCGUAAUAGUUGUUUGAAAUACCCUUGCAUCAUGGGCACUGCCUUCCCAACCAGCCACUGUAAAUAUGAAUUGCAUAUCAAAUCUACAUACAGCCAUUACAUUCUGAGUUGGUGUCCCUCUUCUACCAAUAAAUGGAAUUUGAUCCUCCGAAGAUAUUGAGGCAGGUAUAUGAACACCAUCAAUAGCACCCAUACAAUCCUUAAAGUAAGGCAUAUAUCUUGAAUCUUCAGAUGUCUCUUUGGGAGUGGUAAUAAAGUCAGGAUCCAACGGUUUUAUCAAAUCUACGGACAUACAACACACACUAUCUAAUACCUUGUCAAAAUAUCUACUCACAGUCUCACUAGAAUGUUGGAACCGCUCCAUUGUUGACCGAUUUCCUACACUUUGUCCUAGUAUAACUAGAGCUUGCUGAAAAGUUAAGACAUAAUUAUGGAAGAUAUAUUAAUAAUAAUUUCAAUGCUAUUAUUUUUCCUCAAGCAAAUAGUCCAGAAAAAUUUCCAUAAAUAAGCCUCAUGGUAAGAACAAUGGAUAUAUUUUACAAAAUUUCCAUAAAUAAGCCUCAAGCAAUACUACAUAAGCGCAAUCUCGAAGCAAACAAAUAUGUGUGCUGCACUUUCGGCAGAGGUAGUAUUUUUAAUACCAAAAACACAUAUGCUAUUAUUUUUCCUCAAGCAAAUAGUUCAGAAAAAUUUCCAUAAAUAAGUCUCAUGGUAAGAACAAUGGAUAUAUUUUACAAAAUUUCCAUAAAUAAGCCUCAAGCAAAUAAAUCAAUAGCAACAAUUCAUAGACAUUGUAAAUGUAAUAUAAAGUGUAAUCAGUGACAAAAUAAAAAGUAUUCAUUCAUAAACAUAAUUUACAAAAUAUUGUUUCAUAAAUACAAUACAUUUUCACUUUGUAUUUUUCUCAUAAUUAAGCCAUUUCAAUUUGACAUUUGGAUCUUCUAUCUCAUUAAAUAAAUCCCUUUUCACUUUGUCCGUAAACAACUGACUAGCAAAUAACCACACUUUACUCCCAGCCUCAAUGUUUGGUAAAGAAGCAACCACUUCCAAUGCUUUAUAAAUCUCUUUCCCACUUGUAUCAUUUUGAGAGUUUGAAGUUGUGUUCCUUUUCUCUACUGCAUCAAUGAGACGAUCAAGCUGCCUUGACAGUUUUACAGCACCUCCUACUUUGUUCCCUUUUAAGGCCACUCUUUUACCUUUGCUUCCCUUACUAUCAUCAGACACAAUAUACUCAUCAGAGUCAGCAGUACUCUCAACACAAAGAGAUUCAGAUGCGUCAUUACUCUCUAAAGGAAAACCAGAUGAGGGAACCCAAACAUGCUCACCAGUAGCCACAGUGUUCAUGAACAUUAAAUUUAUUUUUUUCUCCAACUCUGGAUCAAUACCAUUUUUCCGAAAUCUACUGUCCUUACUAUCAUCAGACAUAAUAUACUCAUCAGAGUCAGCAGUACUCUCAACACGAAGAGAUUCAGAUGCGUCAUUACUCUCUAAAGGAAAACCAGAUGAGGGAACCCAAACAUGCUCACCAGUAGCCACAGUGUUCAUGAACAUUAAAUUUAUUUUUUUCUCCAACAUGUUCAUGAACAUUAAAUUUAAUUUUUUCCCCAACUCUGGAUCAAUACCAUUUUUCUGAAAUCUACUGAAUUGCGGAUUUUCCUUUAUUUUCUUUUCCCACCAUUCCUCACUUGCAUCAAUUGUCCUCAACCUAUGAUUCCACCCUAAACCAGCUUCCUUACCAAUCAAAUUCUUCCACAAUUUCCAAUCAGUUCUAAAAGAAUCCCAUUUAUUUUUCAUUUGAGUUCUGUUGUAAUCUAAUCCAGUUUCUUUAGUGAACUCCUUAAUCAAAUUUUCAUAUCCUUGGGAAGUCAAAUGAGUCCCAGGACGAUGUCCGGCAUCCACCUCUUUAAUGCAUAAGUCACAAAAUACAUCUAAAGUCUGGGGGUUCCAGGUAGCCUUACUAGUUGAGCUAUUAGACAUAAUUUCAUACACUUAAACCUAGGAAAAAAAAAUAUUUCUUUGUCAAACAACAAUACAGGAAAAAUAAGAACAUAGAAGUUAAUAAAAUUACUAGAAUCUCAAAAUUAAAAAAAAAAAGACGAACAAGUUACUUUAGUUGUUACUUUACUUGAAAUACUUUUCCAGCAAACAAUAAUGAUCAUAGAAUACUUUUCCAGCAAACAAUAAUGAUCAUAGCCCACGAAUAGAAACAAUUACAAGAAAGUCAAUAAAGCAACAAAAGACAAACCAGACUAGGAAACAAAGAAAUUCAACUAAACAAUCAUUAGGUACAAACUGCAAUUGCAUUUAGCCUCACAAUCUCAAAUUUGCUACGUGCUUUGAUAUUUCCUGUACUAUUCUUUUGGCCCAUCCCAAAGAAAUCGGAUAAGACAUAUACAAUUGCAACACUUUCUCCCUUCUUUUUUCUGUAAUUUGUAUGGCGACUUACGUAUAUAUAACCUAAUUAUUGAUGAUGGAUUAGAAAAUCAUUAGGCUUAUUAAUUAUACGCGUCAAAAGAAUGGUCGGGCAAUAAUUAGGUGUCCUGCUUAUACUCCUGUAAUUUAGUCAUUCUCUAGUAAAUAUUAUUAAAUAAAAAGAAACACAAACAAUUAAGCUUAUUGGUAACUGAAUUGGUGCCCAAAAAUAACAAGAGCAGGAGAAAGCAAACACACCCAAGAAUUUGACAAACUUCAACUUGAAAUCCAGAAUUUGACAAACUUCCCUUUGUUUACUGAAGCAUAGUAUUUCAUAACGUAGGCAUGCAUUUUAUUAUUUAAUGUUUUGUAGAACUAGAAACUCAAAUCAAACAGGGGCUGUGCAUGUCUACAAAAAGCAACUACAAAAAUAAAAACUACGAUAAAAACAAUGGUUACAAGCAAAUAAAUCACGCAUUACCCAUCACCCAUCAAUUUAUUCUAAACAAAAGCCCCAACAUUUUAUGAACGAAAAGGAAGAAAAUGAAAAAUUGCUUGCAAUAGAGUAAAGGAGCACUAAAAAAUGAACAACGGGUAGAGGAAAACGCACCACUGACAGAGGCGUAUGAGAGUGGCCAGUGUCGGAAUCGCAUCAAUUGGAACUCCCACAGUCGGAAUCGUGCUGAUGAGAAUGGGUGUUUAGGGUUUGUUUAAAAAAAUUGAUUUGAAAUAGAACUCCCACUGACACGACUGUUUGAUAAAAUUAAAAAAAAAAAUCGAUUUGAAAUAGAACUCCCACUGACACGACUGUUUGAUAAAAUGAAAAUGGAAUAAUAUAUAAGGCUAAUUUAGUAAUUAAACUUGUAGCUGGGAAAAAAAAUAUGCCAAGUUGUCAAAACACAGCUAUAAGUGUUACCAAACACUUUGGUGGCUGGGCUUUGGCAGCCCAGCCACCUCACCACACUCCCAAACGGGCCCUAAGUGAGAGAAGGAGACAUGCUGGACGUCCACCUCCGACUAUUUUGUGAGAGGUUGAAAAGGGUGUUAGCAGGUAAAGAAGGCGCGUUGCCGUUGCCUGAUUCAACAAAUUUAACCCCGCUUUUUGAAAACCUUCUUACGGAGACUGAAAUUAUUACUACUCUGCUCGGGAACUACGAAGGCGACAUGGCUCGUCAUUUGAUUCAACUCAUUGGAGACGAAUUCGAUGAAGACGAACUGCCUUUGCCUUUCCGGCAAUUCUUGGACGUAGAUGAAGUUAGAAUUUGAAGAUCAAAGGAAGAAGAUGAAGAUCUGAUUGUAUUUUGAUUAUCACAAAAACUAACUACAGUAAUGAGCUUAGCUCAGUAUUUAUAGUAGAAUCUAAUGCUUGCUAAUCACGCCAAUUACAGCUAAGUAAUCUAACUUCUAAAUAACAAAUGCUAAUGUAACUAACUUCAACACAAUUAACAGGAGCUGAUUUGUUAACUAAUUUCAGCCUGAUCCAACUGCAUGGGAAUCUCUUCAUAACAGUUUUGCCAUCUGGAAUUUAGCAGCUUCUCACGUGCACCUUUCACUUUCACUCCUAGACUAGCUACUGGAUUUACAGCUGGCUUGAUUCCAGCUGGCACUCCAACGUGUGUUGCAUGAGGUUCAGCUUCAUCAACUAAUUCAACACCCCUUCUCAAACUUAAGUCUUUUGGGAAGACUUUAAGUUUGCUUCUGAAGAAGUUGAACUUGGGAUAAGUUAGGGGUUUAGUUAAUAUAUUAGCAACUUGAUCAUUUGUAGACACAAACACAAUUUCAACUUCUUUCCUCUCAACUUUCUGCUGUACGGCCAAGGCGGAUGUACGGUACAGCAGAUCGUAAAACCUUCUAAGAUUCAAAUUUGAAUUUGUUAUGGAUGGUGGAAGGAAAAAUAAUUCGAUAUUAAAAAAAUUUAAAAAAAAAAGACAAACCAGAACAAGUUACUUUAGUUGUUACUUUACUUGAAAUACUUUUAAUCAAACACUUAGUUUACUUGAAAUACUUUUCCAGCAAACAAUAAUGAUCAUAGCCCACGAAUAGAAACAAUUACAAGAAAGUCAAUAAAGCAACAAAAGACAAACCAGACUAGGAAACAAAGAAAUUCAACUAAACAAUCAUUAGGUACAAACUGCAAUUGCAUUUAGCCUCACAAUCUCAAAUUUGCUACGUGCUUUGAUAUUUCCUGUACUAUUCUUUUGGCCCAUCCCAAAGAAAUCGGAUAAGACAUAUACAAUUGCAACACUUUCUCCCUUCUUUUUUCUGUAAUUUGUAUGGCGACUUACGUAUAUAUAACCUAAUUAUUGAUGAUGGAUUAGAAAAUCAUUAGGCUUAUUAAUUAUACGCGUCAAAAGAAUGGUCGGGCAAUAAUUAGGUGUCCUGCUUAUACUCCUGUAAUUUAGUCAUUCUCUAGUAAAUAUUAUUAAAUAAAAAGAAACACAAACAAUUAAGCUUAUUGGUAACUGAAUUGGUGCCCAAAAAUAACAAGAGCAGGAGAAAGCAAACACACCCAAGAAUUUGACAAACUUCAACUUGAAAUCCAGAAUUUGACAAACUUCCCUUUGUUUACUGAAGCAUAGUAUUUCAUAACGGAGGCAUGCAUUUUAUUAUUUAAUAUCUUGUAGAACUGGAAACUCAAAUCAAACAGGGGCUGUGCAUGUCUACAAAAAGCAACUACAAAAAUAAAAACUACAAUAAAAACAAUGGUUACAAGCAAAUAAAUCACGCAUGACCCAUCACCCAUCAAUUUAUUCUAACGAAAGCCCCAACAUUUUAUGAAUGAAAAGGAAGAAAAUGAAAAAUUGCUUGUAAUAGAGUAAAGGAGCACUAAAAAACGAACAACAGGUAGAGGAAAACGCACCACUGACAGAGGCGUAUGAGAGUGGCCGGUGUCGGAAUCGCACCGAUGAGAAUUUCAGUGACAGAAUCGCAUCAAUUGGAACUCCCACAGUCGGAAUCGUGCUGAUGAGAAUGGGUGUUUAGGGUUUGUUUAAAAAAAAAAUCGAUUUGAAAUAGAACUCCCACUGACACGACUGUUUGAUAAAAUGAAAAUGGAAUAAUAUAUAAGGCUAAUUUAGUAAUUAAACUUGUAGCUGGGAAAAAAAAUAUGCCAAGUUGUCAAAACACAGCUAUAAGUGUUACCAAACACUUUGGUGGCUGGGCUUUGGCAGCCCAGCCACCUCACCACACUCCCAAACGGGCCCUAAGUGAGAGAAGGAGACAUGCUGGACGUCCACCUCCGACUAUUUUGUGAGAGGUUGAAAAGGGUGUUAGCAGGUAAAGAAGGCGCGUUGCCGUUGCCUGAUUCAACAAAUUUAACCCCGCUUUUUGAAAACCUUCUUACGGAGACUGAAAUUAUUACUACUCUGCUCGGGAACUACGAAGGCGACAUGGCUCGUCAUUUGAUUCAACUCAUUGGAGACGAAUUCGAUGAAGACGAACUGCCUUUGCCUUUCCGGCAAUUCUUGGACGUAGAUGAAGUUAGAAUUUGAAGAUCAAAGGAAGAAGAUGAAGAUCUGAUUGUAUUUUGAUUAUCACAAAAACUAACUACAGUAAUGAGCUUAGCUCAGUAUUUAUAGUAGAAUCUAAUGCUUGCUAAUCACGCCAAUUACAGCUAAGUAAUCUAACUUCUAAAUAACAAAUGCUAAUGUAACUAACUUCAACACAAUUAACAGGAGCUGAUUUGUUAACUAAUUUCAGCCUGAUCCAACUGCAUGGGAAUCUCUUCAUAACAGUUUUGCCAUCUGGAAUUUAGCAGCUUCUCACGUGCACCUUUCACUUUCACUCCUAGACUAGCUACUGGAUUUACAGCUGGCUUGAUUCCAGCUGGCACUCCAACGUGUGUUGCAUGAGGUUCAGCUUCAUCAACUAAUUCAACACCCCUUCUCAAACUUAAGUCUUUUGGGAAGACUUUAAGUUUGCUUCUGAAGAAGUUGAACUUGGGAUAAGUUAGGGGUUUAGUUAAUAUAUUAGCAACUUGAUCAUUUGUAGACACAAACACAAUUUCAACUUCUUUCCUCUCAACUUUGUCUCUCACAAAAUGAAUGUCUAUUUCAAUGUGUUUGGUUUUAGAGUGCAUUACUGGAUUUGUAGCUAUAGCAGCUGCACUUGUGCUAUCACUUAGCAGCAAUGGAGUGUUCUAAAGUAUGACAUCCAGUUCUUUAAGAAUUGAGCAGAUCCAAGUUAAUUCUGAACAGGCCAAUGCCAUAGCUCUGUAUUCUGAUUCUGCUGAUGAUUUGGAAAUUAUGCUCUGCUUCUUUGAACUCCAGCUGAUUAAGUUUUCACCUAAAUAAACACAGUAGCCACUAGUUGAUCUUCUGUCAUCAAUAUCACUUCCCCAGUCAACAUCAAUAUAUAACACAAGGUCUACAAAAUCAGAUCUCCUAAAAGUCAAACCAUAGUCUAUGGUUUCCUUGAGAUAUCUCAGUACUCGUUUACAAGCAAUCCAGUGAGGUUGUAAAGGAUUAGCCAUGAAUUGGCUUAACUUGUUCACAACAUAUGCUAUUUCAGGCCUUGUUAAGACUGUAUAUUGUAAUCCUCCAAUAGCUUUUCUGUAUUGAGUUGCAUCAGUAAGGUCUUCACCCAUGUUUUUGCUCAGUUUUUCUGUUGUGGCCAGAGGAGUAUCAGUUCCCUUGCAUUCUUUCAAAUCAAACUUGGCAAGUAGAUCUUUUAUAUACUUUGACUGGGAUAAUAUCAAAGUUUCAUCAUUUCUAAUAACUUCAAUACCAAGAAAGAAAUUAAGAUUUUCCAAAUCCUUAACAUGAAAAGUGCUGCUGAGGUUGCUGAUAAGCUGUUCUAUUUCAGCAUUGUUAUUUCCAGUCACUAUUAUAUCAUCGACAUAAAUCAACAACAUAAUCAUAUCAUUUCCACUUCUCUUAAAGAAUAAAGAUGUGUCUGACCUGGUUCUAGUAAACUACCAAGACUCAAGAACUGAUCUGAGUUUAUCAAACCAUGCUCUUGGUGCUUGCUUCAAUCCAUAGAGGGCCUUUUUUCAGCUUACACACAUAGUUUGGAUGCUCUGAAUUCUCAAACCCUUCUGGCUCUGGUGGCUUUCGGGAACUUAAGGUUUUGCACCUGAAAUCAAUGUAUUGGCUAGAUGAGUGGACGAUGGCGGCAGGAGCAAUGCCAAAACUUGAAAGCUUAAUUGUCAACCCAUGUGCUUACUUGAGAAAGCUCCCAGAAGAGCUGUGGUGCAUAAAGAGCUUGCGCAAAUUGGAUUUACAUUGGCCUCAGACAGAGUUGAGACAGAGGCUACGGACUUUCGAGGAUAUGGAGUGGCGGUAUGACAUCCAGUUAUAUCCUUACGGAAUCUGAUGGAUGGAAUUGGGUGAGUUUUAAUCAUAUCUGAACUGGGGUUCUGCAGUUCUCGAUCAAUAUCCACCCGGAUUAGAAAAUUUAUUCUAUUUGAAGUACUUGAAAUUGAAUAGCCCUUCGCUCAAAUGUCUUCCUUUUAAACCUUCAAACACUAGAAAUGCCAUCUAGCUACAUAGAUCAUUCACCAGAGGAUAUUUGGAUGAUGCAAAAACUCAUCCAUCUGAACUUUGGUUCCAUCACUCUGCCUGCACCUCCAAAAAAUUAUUACCGCUCUCUGAAAAAUCUCAUUUUCAUAUCGGCCUUACACCCUCGUAGUUGUACUCCAUAUAUAUUAGGUAGACUUCCUAAUGUGCAAACUCUUAGAAUAUCUGGGGAUUUGAGUCACUAUCAUUCCGGGGUUUCCAAAAGCCUGUGCGAACUACACAAACUUGAAUGCCUGAAAUUGGUGAAUGAAGACAAGACGUGGCAGCUCUCAAGGAUGGUCCUGUCUGAGUACCAAUUUCCUCCAAGUCUGACCCAACUCAGUUUAUCAAAUACUCAGCUAAUGGAGGAUCCUAUGCCGAGAUUAGAUGAGCUUCCACACCUUCAGGCGCUGAAACUGAAGCAAAACUCAUAUUUAGAAAGAAAGCUGGCUUGCGUUGGCUCUGGUAGUUUUCUGCAGCUCAAGAUUUUGCACCUAAAAUCAAUGCUAUGGCUGGAGGAGUGGACGAUGGGAGCAGGAGCAAUGCCAAAACUUGAAAGCUUAAUUAUGAACCCUUGUGCAUACUUGAGAAAGCUUCCUGAGGAGCUACGGUGCAGAAAGAGCUUACGUAAAUUGGAGUUACAUUGGCCUCAGCCUGAGUUGAGGCAAAGGCUACGAGCUUUUGAGAAUAUGGAGUGGCGGUAUGACAUCCAGUUUUAUCCUUCUGGAAUCUAACGGAUUGAAAGAGGUGAGUUUUACUCAGUAGAUUUAUAAAUGUAUAAUUUAUCGUAAAACCUUCAAAGGUUCAAAUUUUAAUUUUUUAUCGUAAUUUCCUGACUUUUGUAGGAAAAAUCCAAGUGGAAAGCAUCAUAUAUAAUUGCCGUCUGGCUUUCAAUUUCAACUGCAAUUCAGCAUUGAUCCGUUUAAUUAUCUUCAUUUCAGCUGCCUUUUUGGGGCACUAUUUUGAAGCAGAUUUGCCGCUAGUAAUUCCAUGGUUAGUCUAUUGUCUAUAAACUUGAAUAAGGUAUGUUUUUGCUUUUGUUGAUGUGGAUUUUGUGUUUUAGGAACUGUUGUGCGAUUAGGACUCCAGUUAAGUGUUGUUCAUGAAUAAAGGGUUUGGCUGUCCUUGGACUGUAUGGAAAAAGACAUCUAGUCAAAUUUUCAUCAAGUCACUGAGGGAAUUGCACCAAUGUAAAUAAUCCUCAGUGCCGUCAUGCUUUAUUUGAAUUUUAAUUUGUAUCACAAAAAGAUAUGUAUGAACUGUAAUUUGCAAAUUUGCCGUAUUACUUGUAAUCCCUCACCAGCAAGACUACAAAUUAUAAGGUAAAGUCUGGAUCGGCAUUCGUGGGCUAAAUUGCUGACCAGCAAAUGCUUGAUCUUGAACCGUUUGAUCGGUCCAAGAAAAUGAACAUCGCUUGAGUUACAUGGAGUAAUGUAGAUAAGCUCACUAACGCUCAAAAUAACUUGCUAUCUCAGACUCGGUUAAAACUUAAAAGAAAAGUGGGGGUUGUUAGAGUUAUAAAUAUAAAGAAUAUUUUUGUAAUGAUUCUGCUGAUGUGGCAGCUGAGUAAGCAAGGUUGUUAUUUGUUAGUUUGUAAGUUUGUUAUAGAGCUGAGAAGUUUGUUAAUCACAGCUAACUCUCAACACGUGUGUGAGCAAUGCAGAAGGUUCUGGAUCUUAGUAUAUAAGAUCAACCUCUGUAUUCAUAAUUCAUUGAAUAAAAUUCGAUCUAUUGUUUCUUAUAGUUUCUCUUAUUGCUCAUUAAAUUUUCCUUCAUUUUCUCUGCAACCAAACAAGCAUAAAUAGCUUGGUUAAACUUCAAUUUGGUAUCAGAGCCACAUCUAGUCUAAUCUCAUGGCAUUAUCAAGCUUGACCACAAACAUCUCUUCUUCAGCAACAACCUUUACUUUCACAACUCCAAUAAAACUUGAUCGAUCAAAUUACUUAAUCUGGAAAUCUCAAAUUCUAUCCUCAGUUCGAGCAAAUGAGCUUGAGAGUUUGCUUGAUGGAUCCAGAAUCUGUCCAGAUCAAUUUCUCUCAAGCACUCAAGGAAAUUCAGAUGCUAUGUUCAAUGCUUCUACAAGUUCAACUGUUACUUCACAAGAGAAUCCUGAGUUUCAUGUGUGGAAGAAGCAAGAUCAGAUGCUGCUGAGCUGGCUGCUAUCCUCUAUCAGCAUUGAAAUCCUCAGCCUUGUGGUAAACUCUAAAACCUCUUAUGAACUGUGGUCUAGUUUAGAGCAACAAUUUGGAUCUGAAACUGCUGCUAAGAAAGUUCAUCUCAAAAUGAUGUUGAAUAAUCUGAAGAAAGGAUCUAUGACUAUGACAGAAUAUUUUAGUAAGUUGAAGUCAGUUACAGAUGAGCUUGCUAUUGCUGGAAGUCCUGUUAGUUCUUUGGAUUUUAUAACUCAUCUCAUCUCUGGAUUAGGUCAGCCUUAUUAUCCAGUAGUUGUGUAUAUUGAAGCAAAUGUUCUAAAAAUGAGUAUUAAUGAGGCUUAUUCAAUGUUGUUGACACAUGAGGCACGUUUAGAAAGCAAUCAAUCUAAUUCUUUCAAAGAAGUGAAACAGAACUAUGCUGCUAACUUAGCUCAGGCUGGGAAUAAUCAAAAGAAAGUUAACAAUCAGGGAGGCUGGAAUGGAAACACUGGAAACAAACCUGGAUUUCAUAACUGGAAUGGAAACUUUACAAACAGAGGAGGUUUCAAUCCAGGAAGGGGACAAAAUUCAGGUAGAGGACAAUGGAAUAAUAAUUGGAAUAACUGGAAUGGAAAUCAGGGUAGAGGCAAUUUUGCUGGUGCUGCUAGAAAUUUUUCUGGUAGAUUUCCUGGUGGCUAUAAUGGAUUUGGAAGAGGAGGAGGCAGAGGAAAUAUUGUUUGUCAGAUUUGUUUCAAACACAAUCAUACCGCAGCUGAUUGCAAAGACAGAUUUAACAGAAAUUUUGUUCCUAAUUUUUCUGUGCAAGGAAACUUUCCAGAUCAGAAUCAAACUUCCAGAGCUGCUUUCAUGGCUACAUCAGAAGGAGUUGCUGACCAAGGAUGGUAUCUGGAUAGUGGAGCAACACAUCAUCUCACAAACAAUAUGGAGAACCUAGCUGAAGGUACACCUUAUCUUGGAUCUCAGUUGCUAUUAGUUGGUAAUGGACAAGGUCUUAGAAUUACUUCUAUAGGCAAUAUAUGUCUCCUUAUAUCUUUUGGUAAUCAAUUAAACCUUUCCAAUGUUCUGUGUGUUCCCAAAAUUACCAAGAAUCUGAUUAGCUUAUCUAAACUUCUCUCUGAUAAUCAUAUAAUCAUUGAAUUUGUUUCUAAUCUUUGUUUCAUUAAGGACAAGAUGCAAGGAACUUUGCUGGCACAGGGGAUUGCUGAGGAUGGUCUCUUUAAGCUACUGACUCAAGAUACACCUCUUUCUGAUUCUAAAGCCUUGGGUCUCAAACCUAGUUCAAUGUUGUCUGUUUUUUCUAAUAAAGAGAAUGUACACUCUUUGAAAGAGUUGAAUCACCAAACAAAUGUCUGUUCAAAUUUGAUCAAUUCCAAUAAUGAAAAUUCUGUCAGUUUUCUAGCUUCCAGUAGUCAGUCUAUGCAGUUGCUACACAAUAGGUUUGGUCAUCCAACCAAACAUGUCUUGCAAACAAUAAUGAAAAGUCUUCCUAUGCAUUCAACCUAUUCUCAAUCUCUUAAUUUUUGUGAUGCUUGUCAAUAUGGUAAAUUACAUCAAUUCCAUUUUCCAGUCACUGAUAUAAAAUCAAAAUUUCCUCUCCAACUCUUAUAUGCUGACUUAUGGGGUCCAGCUUCUGUGUUGUCUAUGGAUGGAUACAAGUACUAUAUUUCUUUUGUUGAUGAUUUCACAAGAUAUUGUUGGGUAUUUCCACUCACACUCAAAUCUGAGGCAUUAGACACCUUCAAAAUUUUCAAAUCUCUUGUCGAAAAACAGUUUUCUUUAUCCAUCCAAACACUACAAACUGAUAUGGGGGGUGAGUUUAUAGCCUUCAGAUCAUUUCUCCAACAAGAGGGUAUUCAAUUUAGAUAUAGUUGCCCCCACACUCACCAUCAAAAUGGUGUGGUGGAAAGGAAGCAUAGGCAUGUUGUUGAAACUGGACUCACACUCUUAGCUCAAGCUCAUUUACCUCUCUCUUUUUGGUGGGAAGCUUUUCAUACAGCCACUUACUUAGUGAAUAGAAUGCCAACACCUGUUCUAAACAAUUUAUCUCCUUUUCAAAAACUAUACAAUCAGCUUCUAGAUUACAAGUUUCCUAAAGUGUUUGGCUGUUCCUGUUUUCCUUUUCUUCAACCUUAUCAUCAUCACAAGCUAGAUUUUCAUAUUCAAAAGUGUGUCUUCAUUGGUUAUAGCCCCAUUUAUAAGGGCUACAAGUGUCUUGAUCGAACUGGGAAAGUCUUUGUUGCUAGACAUGUUACUUUCAAUGAACUGGAAUUUCCGUAUUCUGAACUGUUUUUGAAAAACAAGUCCAACACCUUAUCUCAUUCUGCUACCUCCACUCCAUCUUCAGUUCAUUUCUUUCUUCCUCAAACACCUGUUCUUAGUCACAGUAGCAAUGAAGAGCCAUCAGCUGCAGUCUCCAGUCCUGCUCUGUCUCCUGCAUCAGAGUCUCAUUCCUUGCCACAUUCUGUUCAUUCACAAUCUCUAGAUCAACUCUCAAGAUCUUCAAAUUCUUCUCCACCAGUAAUCUCUACUCAUCCUAUGGUUACCAGAUCUAAAGCUGGUAUCUACAAACCCAAAACCUACUUAGCUGUUUCUCAAGACCUUGAACCAUCCAAUGUCAAAGCAGCAUUGACAGAUCCUAGGUGGUACUCAGCUAUGAAUGAAGAAUUUGAAGCUCUCCAAAGAAAUCAAACCUGGACUUUAGUGCCUCCUGAAUCAGCUGGGAAAAUUGUUGGCAACAAGUGGGUUUACAGAGUUAAGUAUAAUGCUGAUGGCAGUAUCUCUCGGUAUAAAGCUCGGUUGGUUGCCAAGGGAUAUCAUCAAACUUAUGGGGUUGAUUUCUUUGAGACAUUUAGCCCUGUGAUCAAGCCUUGUACUGUCAGAAUCAUUUUAAGCUUAGCAGUCAUGCAUCACUGGCCUAUUAAGCAGCUGGAUGUAAACAAUGCUUUCCUCAAUGGCAUUCUUACUGAAGAUGUGUACAUGCAUCAACCACAAGGGUUUGUUGAUUCCACUUACCCUUCUUUUAUUUGUAAGCUUAACAAGGCCUUAUAUGGUCUCAAACAGGCUCCAAGAGCCUGGUAUGAUCGAUUAAAGGAGUCACUAGUUCAAUGGGGUUUUCGAGUCUCCAAAUCUGACACUUCUCUGUUCAUUAAGCAUGCAGGGACAAAUAUCUUGCUCAUUCUCAUUUAUGUGGAUGAUAUUUUAGUCACGGGUUCAGAUUCAAAGCUCAUAGGAAAUGUUAUUCAGCAAUUACAUUCUGAGUUUGCUUUGAAGGAGCUGGGGGAUUUUCAUUACUUUCUUGGUAUUGAAGUUACUCCAUCUGUUCACGGUAUUCAUCUAUCUCAAACUAAGUACAUUGGUGAUAUUCUUAAAAGGGCAAAUAUGCUGGACAGUAAAGGUUGUGUUACACCUAUGAGUACUUCUGAGAAGCUGCACAAGGAUACAGGUGCUGCAUUUGAUAAUCCAUCUUUAUACAGAAGCAUUGUGGGAUCUCUUCAAUAUGUUCUGUUAACUCGACCAGACUUAGCUUUCACAGUCAACAAGCUUAGUCAAUUUUUAUCAGCUCCCACCAUUCUUCAUUGGCAAGCUUGCAAGAGGGUGUUACGGUAUCUUCAAAGUACAGCUGAUUAUGGUCUUCAGUUUUUCAGUUCUGGUUCUUUAAAGUUAACUGCCUACUCUGAUGCUGAUUGGGGAGCAGAUCCUGAUGAUCGCAGAUCUGUUGGAGGUUAUUGUGUGUUUUUAGGUUUCAAUCUCAUCUCUUGGUCCUCUAAGAAGCAGCCCAUUGUGUCCAGAUCAUCAGCUGAGUCAGAGUAUAGAGCUCUUGCUAUGGCUACCUCUGAAGUUCUCUGGAUUACAUACUUAUUUCAAGAGCUUAACAUAUCUUUUGAUCAGAUUCCUCUUCUGCAUUGUGAUAACAAGAGUGCUGAAGCUUUGGCCAGUAAUCCUAAAUAUCAUGCUCGUACUAAACAUAUUGAGCUUGACCUCCAUUUUCUCAGAGAGCAUAUUGCUCAACAACAGCUUUCAGUUACUUAUGUUCCCAGUUCAGAUCAAUUAGCAGAUGUUCUUACUAAGCCCCUCUGUUUUGAUCAGUUUGCUUAUUUGCGCAGCAAGCUUAAUGUCCUUUCACGACAUCAAGCUUGAGGGGGGAUGUUAGAGUUAUAAAUAUAAAGAAUAUUUUUGUAAUGAUUCUGCUGAUGUGGCAGCUGAGUAAGCAAGGUUGUUAUUUGUUAGUUUGUAAGUUUGUUAUAGAGCUGAGAAGUUUGUUAAUCACAGCUAACUCUCAACACGUGUGUGAGCAAUGCAGAAGGUUCUGGAUCUUAGUAUAUAAGAUCAACCUCUGUAUUCAUAAUUCAUUGAAUAAAAUUCGAUCUAUUGUUUCUUAUAGUUUCUCUUAUUGCUCAUUGAAUUUUCCUUCAUUUUCUCUGCAACCAAACAAGCAUAAAUAGCUUGGUUAAACUUCAAUUGGGGUCUGCUGACACCAAAAGGAUUAAAGGAAUCUCUUUUGGAAAGAAUCGAAGAGGAAUAAAGUGCGGAAAUGAAGAUAAAGCAAUAAAAAAUCAAAGAUAAGCUACCAGUAAUCUAAUUAGAAGGUACUAAAAUAUAUUUGUCUAAAUUUAAAUAAAUUUCCACUGCCAAUUUGUAGUUUCAAUUCCCAAAAAGGGUCCAAAAAAAUGCCAGAUAUUGCCUUAGUUCUGAGGAUAUGGAGUGGCGCUUUGACAUCCAGAUAUUGCCUGAUGGAACCCAAUUGAUUAAAUGGGGAGACUUUUACUAUCUUAUCUGAUAACUCAACCUUUAGUUACUUGCCUGAUUUGGUAUGCCUUCUUUCCGUUUCCUCAGUAGAUUUAUAUCUAUUGUAAAACCUUCAAGGGGUCAUAAAAAUGCCUGUCUAAUUGUGGUUGCUUCAAAAUGUCAAAAUUACAUCUCAACGUAGACUGAACUCGAGUAGAAAAGCAGCAGAGAAACAAAGAAAGAUUCCUCUGUAUUCUAUUUCAAAAGAACUGUAAAAGCACAUUUUCAUUUAUGAUUCUUAUUUCCUUUUACUUGUGUAGGUAAAGUCAGAGGCGGAGACAUCAUGUAACUCAGCCUGUUCAUUUCCAACUUUAAUUUAGCAUUUUUGAGCUGUCUUUUGGGGAUAUUGUUUCGUAUCGGACUUGCCAUGCUUAAGUUAUUGUCUAUGGACUUGAAUAACGCCUUCCUUUUUAUUGAAUUUUAGCGUCUAUGGGUACAUAUUUUUUGAUUUUCUAACAGUCGUAUGAUUAGUUCCAAUUAAGUUUUCUUCAUUCGUGUGUGGUUUGCUCUGCUGUCUCAAAUUCAUCAAUGUGAAUAUGACACUCUUCAUUAAUACGCCAGUUAAGCACUUCAGCUCUGAUGUGUAUUAUCUCUACUUAUUUUUCAGCUUUAUGCCUUUAGCUACUGGACAACAUUAACCCUAUGCCAGUUACAAUCUCAAGAUUUGUGCAGAAGACUGCUUUUAUAAUUGUAAAUUUGUAAUGUUACUUGUAGUCCCUCAACGGCAAGAGUAAAUUUGUAAAGUUCACUGAACAUGCAGCUUUUCUGCAAAUCAGGUCUUUGCACAAAUUAAAUCUGGUUGUGAGUCUAUAGACAAUUGAUUGUUAAUUUCCAUUUUUUCCAACCCAAGCGUUUAAAGAGGAUACAAAUUUGCAGAAGCCACCAGAGUUGCAUCAACUAUUGGAGUUAGUGCAGAUAAGAUUACAAAUGCAUAAAAAUGGAAAUUAACAAUCAACUUGAGAAAAACCAUAAAAAUGCCAUAGUAGUUAAGGUUACUUCCAAUGCAAGACUCAAAUCGGGUAGCAAAACUGAGGGGGUUAAGCCACACAUUGUAGCAGAGAAAAAAAGAAAUAUCAUUCUGUAUUCUAUCUAAUAACUGUAAAAGCGCAUUUUCAUUUAUGAUUCUUAUUUUGCAUUCUAGGUAAAAUCAGAGGGGGAUACAUAAUAACUGCAGCCGGGCUUCCCAAGUCAACUGUAAUUCAGCAUCGAUCCUUUACAUACAUUUCAUUUCAGCCGUCUUUUCGGGAAGUUGUUUUGAAUUCGAUUUGCGAAUUUGAUAAAAGUGAGACUGCGAGUAUUGUUGCAGAUUAGCCCUCCCAUGUGAUGCGCACGUGACCCCCUCAUUCUCAUUUGACCACAUCAAACUUCAGUCAAAGUUGUUACUAAGCGCGGCAAAGUUUGUUUAUGCCGUUUCUGUUUUGUACUUUAAACACAGAUGUAAUCAUCACUAGAUUAACAAAUAAUCAUAAUUAAAGCGAUUGGCACCUAUGAUGACUUGUGUCUACUGUGAUAUUGAGUAAAGCAUACGCUUAUGCGCACAAAAAUAUUAAACAAAAGAUGCCUUAUAUAUACAUAUAAAUGUUCUUUUAGGCCUUAUUAUGGUGAGUGAGUGACCAGUGAGUUAUAGUGUCUAUAAUGUCUGGACUUAAUGAAAUAGUUGAUUGACAGUUAUCUCUAUGCACUUUGCAAUAUGAACAACUUGUAAGAUUUCACUCUACACAGUAAUUUUCUGAUUUUAAUUCGUUGUAAUUUUUUGUUAAUCCUAUAUAAUUAAUUUCUAGUUUUUUUUUUGGGGGGGUAAAAAUUAUAGGCUUUCAGAAGAAGGACAAGACUUUUUCAUGUCGUAUGACGAAGUUUAUAAUAGUUUUGUUUAAGAGUGUGAUGAUAAAUCUUUAUAUUAUCAUGAAACUUUAGCUUUAAGAAAUUUGAGACGUUCUAUUUUCAAAAGACAUUUAGUACUAUUUUUUUUUCAUUCCCAUCAUUUAUCUUAUUUAAUUUAUUUUAGAAACUAUAAGGCAGAGUUUAUUUCUCUUUUUUUUUUUAAAAAAAAUAAUGAUGUUAUUUUAAGAAUCUUCGUAUUACAAUCUGGUCAUCAUGAUUUAUUUUCAUUUUAUUUUGAGACAAAAGGAUUGUUUUUGAAUUUUCAUUAGCAAAUGUACAUUGCUUUCCUCUUUUGGAUUGGCAAAAACAGAAAACAAAAAUAAUUAAACAAGAUUUCAGGACAUCAGCAUCUUAUUCUUUUCUUGAACUAAGUCUUCUUUUUCUUUAGCUUUUGCUAAGAUGCUUUAUUAACCUUCCUCCUUUUUCCUAUUGUUAGCUUGGUAUCUCGUUCAUUUCUUGAACCGAGAUAUUUGCCUUUAUUUAGAAGUAAAGCUAAAAUGCUCUUUCGCCUUUCCUCCCUUUUCUCUUAACUUGUGUUUUCUUAUGCUAUCAUUUUCAAUUGUACCAAACACCAUUCAUUUAUCAAUAUCCAGUUUGAAUAAAAUUCUUCAAUUUGAUUUUUUUUGCUACUUCCACAUAACUGUUUGAUUGUGGUGCUUUCAGUCAGAAUUAGAUAUCAUCGGGACAUUAAAUCUUUGAUUACUCAAACAAUCAAUAACAGGUAUUUUAUUAUCUGAAUUAUUCAUAUAACUUCAUUUUAUUUAUUUUUAUCUCAUGAAUGUUAGAUCCACUUUAGGUUUGUGAUUAAUUAUUUUUCACAAGUUAUAUUUUUUAUUUUCAUUUUCGUGAGUAUCAAAAUAAUCACUAUCAUGUACACGUUGCUUGCAAUUUUAUUGUGUCAAAAUCAUCACCCACAAAUAAUAUUAAAUGAAAUUCAAUCGCACAUUAAAAAAUAUGUGCAUAUAAUUUUUUUUAAAACCAUUAUUCUCCCUUGGAGCUUACUAUUAUUUAGUACACGAAAUAAAUAAAUAAAUAGAUAAAUAACUUGAUGGAGUUGUUUGCGAAUAGGAAUUACUAUUUAUUUAGUUUCGAGUUUCUGCAUUACUAUUAUCUUUUCUGUUAUAUUUGCUUUUAGCAACUCAAGUGCAUAUGAUUGAGGAUGCAUUUGGUAUCUUCUUUGUUAUAUUUGCUUUCAUCCUCAAAUGUUGUUUUUGUAUUUGUUUUAUAAUAAAGAUACGAUAAUAUUAAAGCACGUUGGUAGCCUUUGUUAAAAUAGCAUUUGAAAAUAAAAUUUGUAAAAAUGUGUUUGGCAAUUCUUUUAGAAAAAUUAUAAAAUAACUUAUUGUGGGACUCAUCUUAUUUCCAUUAAUUCCUUGCACAACGCAUUAACCUGAUUGAUUAAAGUGUUAUUUCAAUGUUAUUUUCACCAAAUCCAAGAACAUGUCAGAAAAGCACUUUGUGAAAUAUGUUCUUCAUUCUAAUAUUUCCGCGUAAUAGAAAAUGACUUACCAAAAACAAUACCAAACAACUCCUUGGCUAUAGAUAAUUAUUUGACAACAUAAGUACUGAGUUUUGCAUAUAAUUUAUAUAUUUUUAAUAGCUCUGUUUUGCAAAUUCCUGCUAAACAAUACAAGUGAGAGAAGGAGACAUGCUGGACGUCCACCUUCGACUAUUUUGUGAGAGUUUGAAAAGGGUGUUAGCUGGUGAAGAAGGCACGUUGCCGUUGCCUGAUUCAACAAAUUUAACCCCACUUCUUCAAAACCUUCUUACGGAGUCGGAAAUUAUUGCUACUACUCUGCUGGGAAACUAUGAAGCUGACAUGGCUCGUCAUUUGAUUCAACUCAUUAGAGACGAAUUCGAUGUAUCCAAAAUCUUUUUGCUUUUUUUGCAACUGUUCAACUUAGAAGAAAGCGAUGAAGACGUUAAAAGACCAGACAUUUUGGAAAUUCUGGAGGACAUCAAUCACUUUGUCCAUGAAUCUGAGGAAGCCAUUGACACAUUCAUCAUCAACAUCAUGCAGCAGCAAAACAGUGAAAUCGAAAGUGAGAGCAGUACUAAUAUGGCUCUUCUUAUUGGACUCCACAGUAAAAUCAUUGAUAUUAGAAAUCGGAUGCAACAACUUCCACCCAGCGACAAUGGUUUUGAUAUCAGUGAGCAAAGUAACGUAAUCAUUCGCCAAUUGAGUGAGGGACAGCCUCAGCUUGAUGUCAGUGAAUUUGAAAGGGGCAGAGAGAAGUUGUUUGAUCUAUUGAUUGAGGGACCAUCUGGGCUUUCGGUGGUUGCAAUUCUCGACAGCAAUGGCUUCGAUAAGACUGCUUUUGCUGCUGAUACUUACAAUAAUAAUCAUGUCAAGUUCUAUUUUGACUGUCUUGCUUGGGUCAGGGUUUCUAUAGCCUACGAUUUUGGCAAGAUAUUGGAUGACAUAAUCAAGUCUGUGAUGCCUCCAUCUCGGGUUAGUGUAAUUAUCGGUGAAGAUUAUCAAUUGAAGAAAUCUGUUCUUCGAGAUUACCUAACCAACAAGAAGUACUUUAUUGUGCUUGAUGAUGUCUUCGCUUACAGUGAGAUAUGGAGUGAGCUCGAAGAACUUCUUCCUGAUGAUGAGAAUGGAAGCAGAGUAUUGAUAACAGUCACUGAUCCAGACCUCCUUGAGUCGUUGGAAAUGGAAAAUGGAGAGAUGAUUUGGCGUGGUUCAGUGCUCUUUGGAGGACCAUUGAUCAGAUUAAAGCAUGAAGCCUGGCAAUUUUUCAUCCUACACUAUGGAAGUAUGCCAUUAGAAAAUUAUGUUCAAGGCGAAACGAUUCCGACAGUUUGGAGACAAAUUUUUUCUGUGUUGGAGUUACCUUUUCACUUGAAAAUCUGCUGCAUCUAUUUGUGUGUCUUCCCUGCAAGUAUUGAGAUAUCCACGAGGCAAUUAUAUCAGUUGUGGGUAGCUGAAGGUUUCAUACCAUACAACAGUGAAGAAACUGCCAAACAUUACUUGAAAGAACUAAUCCAUCGUGGCUUCAUUCAAGUGAGUAAGAGAAGAUCUGGUGGCACAAUUAAAGCGUGUUAUGUUCCAAGUAUUGCAUAUACUUCAUUGGCUUUGAUGGCAAGAAAGACGGAAUUUGUAUCUUCAAUCUUUUCUGAAGAGGAAUCACUGUCAAAUGUUAAACGGUACAUUGUUUUCAAAGAUCUGAUUGAGUUUUUAUCUUUAGAACAUUCUGACAUGUAUCUCCAAUCUUUUCUGAAUCACAGUUCAAAAAGCGAUCAUCUCGCUCUGAUACAUUGCGAGAAUUUUUGUAAAAAGUUCAAACACCUUCGGGUAUUGAACUUGGGUUCUGCAGUCCUCGACCAAUAUCCACCCGGAUUAGAAAAUUUAUUCUAUUUGAAGUAUUUGAAAUUGAAUAUUCCUUCGCUCAAAUGUCUUCCUUCACUGCUAUGCACCCUAUUAAACCUUCAAACACUAGAAAUGCCAUCAAGCUACAUAGAUCAUUCACCAGAGGAUAUUUGGAUGAUGCAAAAACUCAUGCAUUUGAACUUUGGUUCCAUCACUCUGCCUGCACCUCCAAAAAAUAAUUCC